GGAUAUGCAUGUCUAGUAUGACUAUUAUCCGGUGUGCUGCGAAUGGGUCUUUUUCUCUUAUCGUUUAUUUGAGGUACCUUACUACUUGGAAACCGUGGUAAUUCUAAAGCUAAUACAUGCUUAAAACCCCCACUGUUUGGAAGGGAUGCAUUUAUUAUAUAAAAGGUCAACGCCUGCGCGGCCUGUUGUGAUUCUGAUUCAUUUUACCUCGUCGGAUCGCUUGGGCUUUGUGCUGGCGACGCAUCAUUCAGAUUUCUGCCCUAUCAACUUUCGAUGGUUGGAUAGUGGGGUUUUCUGGGGGUGACGGGUGAUAGAGAUUUAAUCCUCGAUUCCGGACAGGAAAACUGACAACCGGCUCCCAGGUCGGAGGAAGGCACCAAGUUCCCCAAUUCCCCAAUCCGGAAGUAAGGAGGAAAAGACAAUAAAUAAGGGCCUUUUGCUCCCUGGAACUGGAAAUUGGAAUGAUUACAAUCCAUAACCCUUAACGAGUAGCCGGUGAAGGGGGGGGCUGGCGCCCGCAGCCGUGCUAAUUCCAGCUCCAAAAAUUAAUAUUGAAGUUGUUGCAGUUAACAAACUUGAACUUGGACCUUGGGUGGGGUUGAUCCUCCUCCGCUGGUGGGGCCGGCUGGCUCGUCCCUUCUGCCGGCGAUGCUGCUCCUGGCCGUAAUUGGCCGGGUCGCGCCUCUUAUACUGUUACUUUGAAGAAGUUAUACUGCUCAAACAUUGCGCAACUCAGUAUACAGUAACAUGGGACUACACCGUGGGAUUCUGAUCCGAUGGUGUUGACCAUCGGGAUCGGGAUAAGGAUUAACAGAGUACAGUCGGGGACAUUCAAAUUUCAUAGUCAAAAGUGACGUUCUUGGUAUUAACAAAUCACACACAAAAUGCUUUUCGCAUUUCAGAAGGUCGUUUUCAUUUAAUCAGAAAAUAAGGUUAUGGGAUCGUAUACGAUCACAUACCGUCCCAGACUCAGGCAUUAGGCCAUGGCAGAUAUGGGUGGCAACGGUAUGUUGCUUUUAGCGAACUCGCCCUGGUCACUUAUGAGAACAAAGCUAAAUCAUGUUUCGGUUCCCGGGAGGGAGACUUACGGGCACACUAGACAUCAAAAACUUAAAAGGGACUGUGCACGGAUA
rnacentral:rRNA from 1 species